AACGAACGCUGGCGGCAGGCUUAACACAUGCAAGUCGAGCGCCCCGCAAGGGGAGCGGCAGACGGGUGAGUAACGCGUGGGAAUCUACCCAUCUCUACGGAAUAACGCAUGGAAACGUGUGCUAAUACCGUAUACGUUCUUCGGGAGAAAGGUUUAUCGGAGAUGAAUGAGCCCCCGUUGGAUUAGCGAGUUGGUGGGGUAAAGGCCUACCAAGGACACGAUCAAUAGCUGGUCUGAGAGGAUGAUCAGCCACACUGGGACUGAGACACGGCCCAGACUCCUACGGGAGGCAGCAGUGGGGAAUAUUGGACAAUGGGCGCAAGCCUGAUCCAGCCAUGCCGCGUGAGUGAUGAAGGCCCUAGGGUUGUAAAGCUCUUUCACCGGUGAAGAUAAUGACGGUAACCGGAGAAGAAGCCCCGGCUAACUUCGUGCCAGCCGCCGCAGUAAAAC
rnacentral:rRNA from 1 species